AGAGUUUGAUCCUAGCUCAGGAUGAACGCUGGCGACGUGGAUAAGGCAUGCAAGUCAAACGAUCCGCAAGGACAGUGGCGAACGAGGUAGUAACGCGUAGGAACGUACCCGGAAGUCAGGCAUAGCUCUCCGAAAGGAGAGGUAAUUCCUGAUAGUCCCUGCACCACAAGGUGUUGGGUAAAGUUUUUCGCUUCCGGAGCGGCCUGCGAGCUAUCAGCUAGUUGGUAAGGUAAUGGCUUACCAAGGCUUUGACGGCUAGGGGAGGUGAGAGCCUGACCCCCACCGAUGGAACUGAGACACGGUCCAUACACCUACGGGUGGCAGUAGCCGAGAAUAUUCGACGAUGGGCGAAAGCCUGAUCGAGCGACGCCGCGUGGUGGAUGAAGUCCUUCGGGACGUAAACACCUUUUGCCUGCAAGAAAUUUCGAUGAUCAGCAGGAGAAUAAGGGGUUGCUAACUCUGUGCCAGCAGCAGCGGUAAGACAGAGACCCCAAGCGUUAUCCGGAAUCAUUGGGCGUAAAGGGUGCGUAGGUGGAUUUGUUAGUCGGGCGUUAAAGCUCCGGGCCUAACCCGGAAGAUGCACUCGAAACGGCAAAUCUAGAGUGCGCGAGAGGUACACGGAACUCAUGGUGUAGGGGUGAAAUCCGUUGAUAUCAUGGGGAACACCAAAGGCGAAAGCAGUGUACUGGCGCGCUACUGACACUCAAGCACGAAAGCGUGGGGAGCGAACGGGAUUAGAUACCCCGGUAGUCCACGCCCUAAACGAUCUUCUCUAGCCUUUCGGAGUAUCGACCCUCUGAGAGGCGAAGCUAACGCGUUAAGAGAAGCGCCUGGGGAGUACGGCCGCAAGGCUAAAACUCAAAGGAAUAGACGGGGACUCGCACAAGCAGUGGAUGAUGUGGUUUAAUUCGAUUCUAAACGAAGAACCUCACCAAGGUUAGACAUCCAAACGAAUGGCAGAGGAAACUUUGCCAGUGUCACAAACACGUUUGGACAGGUGUUGCAUGGCUGUCGUCAGUUCGUGGUUUGAAUUGUUCCCUUAAGUGGGGUAACGAACGCAACCCUCGUCGUCUGUUACAAGUGUCAGACGAGACUAUCCCGCUCUGCGGGAGGGAAGCGAGGAUGACGCCAAGUCAGCAUGACCCUCUGAUACCUUGGGCUACACACAUCAUACAAUGGCCGUUACAAACGGACGCAAUAUCGAAAGAUGGAGCAAAUCCGAAAAAAGCGGCCCCAGUUCGGAUAGAGGUCUGCAACUCGACCUCUUGAAGUCGGAAUUGCUAGUAAUCGCAGGUCAGCUAUACUGCGGUGAAUACGUUCUCGAGUCUUGUACUCCCUGCCCGUCACGCCAAGGGAGCCGGGAGUACCCGAAGCGUCUCGCAAGGGGCACUAAGGUAAGCUCGGUGACAGGGGUGAAGUCGUAACAAGGCACGG
rnacentral:rRNA from 1 species